GGUGGAAAGUUUACCAGCUGAAGUAGAAACUAGUGUCCCAUCCAGAUGUGAUGCUCUGAAGAGCUGCCUCAUGCACGUGCCCUAUGCCCCUCAGGCCGUCGAACGCUUCCGCCAGUUCCGAAAAGAGAACAACAUCACCCUGCCUGGAGUGCCUCAGAUGCCCAACUUGCCCUCCUCUUUGACUCAGAUUACCCAACACCUGCCAUCAUUUUCCUUUCAGCUGUCGCAGUUACCCCAGCAAGUCUCCCAGCAAAUUUCCAAAAUCCCAAACCUGUCUUCAAACAUUUGUCAGCGGCUUCCCAACUUGACCCCGCAGCUCCCUAGCUUCCCACAAAAGCUGUCCAACAUUCCACAAACGUUGUCCAGCAUUCCACAAAGGCUUAGCAGCAUUCCCCAACGCUUUUCCGUCCUUCCGCAACAGGUAUCCAAUAUUCCGCAACAGCUCUCCACGAUUCCCCAAAAGAUAUCCAGCAUUCGGAGCCGUCUAAAUAAACUUAAACCAGAUCACGAUGCCCAAGCAACAACCUCAACAGAGUAGAGAUCUCGAGUUGGACCAUCUCGUCCGCCAGUCUCCGCUCCGUUCCCCCCCAACCCCUUCGCCUUCCUCCCCAAGCUCUGUCCUUGACCUCCCCAAUGUGCCCUCUUACCCUCGUCUGCCACCCAUUACCCCUUCCAGGCAGUUGUCAGGUAUCUCCAACCCUGCUGUCCACAUUGAAGAUGACCCUACCUCUGCUAGACCCUCAGUGAGUUCCAGACUUAGCGUGCACCCGGCUGUGAACGUAGAAGAUGUUGAUUCCGACGGAGGAAAAGUCGGGAGGAGAUCUCGGCCCAUACCUCCAAUAAUAAACCCACAGGACCCUAACCUCAAAACUCUCACUGUGCCUGGUGUUCGUAAAGCUAACCG